GUAGGGAAUUUUCCACAAUGGACGAAAGUCUGAUGGAGCAACGCCGCGUGAACGAUGAAGGUCUUCGGAUUGUAAAGUUCUGUUGUCAGGGAUGAACAAGUACCGUUUGAACAAGGCGGUACCUUGACGGUACCUGACGAGAAAGCCACGGCUAACUACGUGCCAGCAGCCGCGGUAAUACGUAGGUGGCAAGCGUUGUCCGGAAUUAUUGGGCGUAAAGCGCGCGCAGGCGGCUAUGUAAGUCUGGUGUUAAAGCCCGGGGCUCAACCCCGGUACGCAUCGGAAACUGUGUAGCUUGAGUGCAGAAGAGGAAAGCGGUAUUCCACGUGUAGCGGUGAAAUGCGUAGAGAUGUGGAGGAACACCAGUGGCGAAGGCGGCUUUCUGGUCUGUAACUGACGCUGAGGCGCGAAAGCGUGGGGAGCAAACAGGAUUAGAAACCCGUGUAGUCC
rnacentral:rRNA from 1 species